AUGCACGCUGGCGGCGUGCCUAAUACAUGCAAGUCAAGCGAACGGACGAGAAGCUUGCUUCUCUGAUGUUAGCGGCGGACGGGUGAGUAACACGUGGAUAACCUACCUAUAAGACUGGGAUAACUUCGGGAAACCGGAGCUAAUACCGGAUGAUAUUUUGAACCGCAUGGUUCAAAAGUGAAAGACGGUCUUGCUGUCACUUAUAGAUGGAUCCGCGCUGCAUUAGCUAGUUGGUAAGGUAACGGCUUACCAAGGCAACGAUGCAUAGCCGACCUGAGAGGGUGAUCGGCCACACUGGAACUGAGACACGGUCCAGACUCCUACGGGAGGCAGCAGUAGGGAAUCUUCCGCAAUGGGCGAAAGCCUGACGGAGCAACGCCGCGUGAGUGAUGAAGGUCUUCGGAUCGUAAAACUCUGUUAUUAGGGAAGAACAUAUGUGUAAGUAACUGUGCACAUCUUGACGGUACCUAAUCAGAAAGCCACGGCUAACUACGUG
rnacentral:rRNA from 1 species